UGCUGGAGUCAGAGUCCUACCUUCUCCUGAGCUCUGAUGCUUUCUUCUCUGUGCUCCCUGCUGAUCCAUUCACCAGCAUGAAGGCGUUGCUGGUCCUGGUAGUAAUUAACUUUUAUCUCUUUUUUUUUUUUCUGUCUCAGUGAGUUCAACAUAUACUCCAUCUGUUAGCUCUACUGCUGCCCCUGAUGCCACCACUGCAGCUCAUGCCACCCCUGCAGCUCAUACCACCCCUGCAGUUCCAGCCACCCCUGCAGCUCAUGCCACCCCUGCAGCUCCCACCACCCCUGCAGCUCAUGCCACCCCUGCAGCUCCCGCCACCCCUGCAGUUCCUGCCACCAUGACCAAUGCUGUUCAAAGCACCACUCGAGCUGGCUUCUUCAGCUCGAUUUGGAAAAUAGUGGGUUGAAAUAUUACUAAGAUGGAAUUAGAGGCAUCUGCAUUUGAUCUUGCAGGGCUCAGCACAAGGCCCAUCCAUUUGAUUUAAUCUAGCUGCUUAUCAAGUCUACCAUCUUUAUCUUAUCCUUAAUCAGUUUAUCGGUUUUCAAAUAAAAAAUAAUAUUGAGCAACAUCAAAAA